rnacentral:misc_RNA from 1 species
GUAUACAACGCUGAAGCGUUCUGCAAAUGAUAACUUGCAGAGGUUAUGUCAGCAUACGAAAUUUCCCGUGAAAGAUGUGUUGCGCCUUCAGCAGUGGUUAAAAGAAAUGAAGAGGAAGGACUGGAAGUCAAACCGAAAUAGCACAUUGUGUUCAGCUCAUUUUGCAAAUGACUGCUUUGAUAGGACAGGAUUCCUAAUUACAUUGAAAAAGAACAGUGUACCAACUAUAUUUGACAACCCAAAAUCAGAGUGUUCAUCUUGUCACCGAUUAAGGGAAUGUGGACAUGGCUAUUCAUUGUUCAAGUUCCCAUUGGAUGAACCUGAUAUUAUGAAGCAAUGGAUCGCAAAUAUAAACAUUGGACCGUGGUCUCCAUCAAGUGAUAGCUUUCUGUGUUCCGACCACUUUGAACCCUCUUGCUUUCAGAAGAAAAGUAAAAAUUAUAUAACUUUACCAAAAGGCAGUAUCCCAACGUUAUUUGGUGAAAACUUGCAGCAGACCGAAUUUCAGGAUGAAUCCGAUCGGCCCACCACAGUGAAUGUAACCAAAUUACAUGAUCACCUACACAUUUGUACCUGAUUUGCAUGCUCAGCUCCACUUUGAUGAUCAAUGGAUGGUAAAUGGAUUCCCUAACGGUUGAAUUAGUGUUAUACAAAUGUUUGAAUAAUCCGUAUGGAAUUCAGCCCACCAUAGGAUAAAGGAUAAUGGACGAAAACUUCUCAGAAUUGAGGACUUCUUUUGAACAUAAAGAAAAAUCACGCUUAAAUACAAGUUUUUCGUCAUAUUAUUUAAUGAUCUUUUACACCAUAUAAU